rnacentral:rRNA from 1 species
UACGGAGGGGGCAAGCGUUACUCGGAAUUAUUGGGCGUAAAGGGCGCGUAGGCGGUUCCGUGCGUCGAGGGUGAAAUCCCCGGGCUUAACCCGGGAGCUGCCUUCGAUACGGCGGGACUUGAGUCCGGGAGAGGGGAGCAGAAUUCCCAGUGUAGCGGUGAAAUGCGUAGAUAUUGGGAGGAAUACCAGUGGCGAAGGCGGCUCCCUGGACCGGUACUGACGCUGAGGCGCGAAAGCGUGGGUAGCAAAC